AGGGAAUUUUGUUAUUUUUAACUAUUUAUGCUAAGCUUCAAAUUUAUUAACCAUUGAACUUGUAUACAUUACAUAUGUUAAAUGUGUUUCUUUUGCGCUCAGUAAGUCUUUCUGUAUACUAAUAAAAUAAUUUUUAAAACAUUGAAUUGCCAUUAAUAUGCAGCGUUUUGCAUAUGAUGUUGUGGUUGUCGGAGGUGGAAUCAUUGGAACUGCUACAGCCAGGGAACUCUUAUUAAGAAAUCCAUCGCUUAAAUUGGCACUUGUUGAAAAGGAAGCAUCUCUUGCUGCACACCAAAGUGGUCACAAUAGUGGUGUUAUGCAUUCUGGCAUCUACUAUACACCUGGAUCUUUGAAAGCAAAGCUUUGUGUAGAAGGCCUAGAACUUGCAUAUAAAUAUUGUUCUGAACACAAUAUUUCUUACAAAAAAUGUGGAAAACUUAUAGUUGCUGUUAAUCAAAGAGAAAUUUCCCGACUUGAAGCACUAUUUAAACGAGCAACUGAAAAUAAAGUAAAAGAUAUCUCUCUCAUUGAUCAAGAUGAAAUUAAGAGACUUGAACCAAACAUUCAUGGUUUAAAGGCAAUAUGGUCUCCUAAUACUGGUAUUGUUGAUUGGGCAGAAGUAAACAAGUCAUUUGCUGAAGAAUGCAAAGUUCGAGGAGCUGAUAUUUAUUUAAAUUUUUGUGUCAAGGGUCUUCAUGUUGUUUCUCCAACUACAAAGACACCUGAACCUUUUGUUUUAGUGCAAAGCAAAACUAAAGAAUUGCUAUGUAAGCAUGUUGUAACCUGCGCUGGCUUGCACUCGGACAAUUUAGCCAUUAUGACAGGGUGUAGUCCAGAGCCCAGAAUAAUCCCUUUCAGGGGAGAGUAUCUUGUUCUAAAACCAGAAAAAUCUAAUCUUGUGAAAACUAAUAUAUACCCUGUUCCACAUCCUGAAUUACCAUUUCUUGGUGUUCAUAUUACUCCUCGUAUUGAUGGUUCAGUUUGGUUGGGACCAAAUGCUGUUCUUGCUUUUGAGAGAGAAGGAUAUAGUGCCAAAGAUUUUAAUGUAGCAGAUACUAUUAAUUAUCUGGGAUACAGAGGCUUUAGAAAGCUAGCUAAGAAACACUUUUUUUAUGGCUUGCAUGAAAUGUAUCGAAGUUCCAAUAUUGCUGCCCAAGUUCGUAUACUUCAACAAUAUCUUCCAAAUUUAAGCAGUUCAGAUGUUGUCAGUUUUAUUUGAAGAGUAUCAACAUUGUUAUCACUGAAGUUCAUUUACUGUGAGUGAGUGAAGAUCUCUGUCCAUGAGUUUAAAUGGCUUAUAACAUGUUCCUAUCAGCUUUGUUGCCAAACUUUUUGCUCCAUGGUACAACCAUCUAAUUUUGGAAUCACAGAUCAUUGGAUUAUCUGAAAGGGAGAAAAAUGAUGGCACCAAACUGGCCUCCAUAUUGAUUCAUCAAAUGUAGAAAAUUCGUUCAGCUCCAAGUUAACCCUUUUCAAAUUUGGCAUUCGAUGGAAUAUAUUUUCUGUCUAAAUUGAAUGUUGUUGGAAUUGCAAGGAUAGAGCAAACCGAAGUUAUGGGCAGAAACUCCAUAGUGGGCCUUGGCGACAUUCUAGAAGCUUCCAGAAAACGCCUUUGAAACCACAGAAGCGAUUUUUCAGCUUAGGUCUCUUCUCGAAAUUUGUACUGAAAGAGUCGCGUUAUAUUGACACUUGAACCUUUGGAUUCAGCUCGAUUGGAUUAGAGCUCUUGCAAGGUCGAUGAUUAGUAAACCAAAGAAUUCUGGCACAUGACAGUGUAGGCUCAUGAAAAUAUUUAAAUAAGAAUAUUAUGAAGAAAAUGCUGCUGACCACAACUGUGAGAAAUGCUGGUGAUUGUGUAAUGGUGAAUAGAAAAGAAAUCAACGAGAGAAGAACAUAUGGCACAAUAUGUGGAGCGGAGAUGAAAAAUGCGUAGGAUGCAAGUAAGCAGAUAAAAAAAAAAGUUAGAAAUGUGCAGAAUGUGUACAACAGUGUUCUGAUAACUGGGGAAAAAAAUCUGAUGUGUACACCACAUGACUUCCUUGUAUGGAAUAUUAAAUUAUAUGCAUUUUUUCUUGCA